rnacentral:tRNA from 1 species
GGGUGUAGCUCAGUGGUAGAGCACUUGCCUAGUAAUGUGCAAGGGUCCAGGUUCAAUCCCCAGCUCCACA